AGAACGUUCAGGUAGAGAUCAGUGAAACUAUCAGUUAACAAAGCCCUUGUUGCCCCUGUACCUCUGAGAAAAGCCCUUAGAUUGAUCACACAGUUUUCCUUUCAAACUCUAAAGAUGACUAAGUGACAGAUUCCUGGGAUUGAUUUAAAAGGAGGUUGAAGCAAGGGAACUCUUGGACGCUCACCCUGAAG
rnacentral:lncRNA from 1 species